UACCAGCACCCCGAGUGGUCGGGACGAUUAUUGGGCCUAAAGCAUCCGUAGCCGGUUCUGCAAGUCCCCCGUUAAAUCCGCUGCUCAACAGAUGGGCCGCGGAGGAUACUACAGAGCUAGGAGGCAGGAGAGGCAAGCGGUACUCAGUGGGUAGGGGUAAAAUCCGUUGAUCCAUUGAAGACCACCAGUGGCGAAGGCGGCUUGCCAGAAUGCGCUCGACGGUGAGGGAUGAAAGCUGGGGGAGCAAACCGGG
rnacentral:rRNA from 1 species